rnacentral:lncRNA from 1 species
GAUAAGCAAGAGUGCUAAUUACUGGCUUUGAAAGUAUAUCAUAAUGGCUUUUUAUAAUUGUACUUACGCUCUAUUAUUCUUCCUUUCUUAUUGUCUAGUCAGUGUUCCUAAUUGUACUGCCCCAGGAAAAUGCACUGAGAAGAAAUACAGCAAAACACGUGAGAUGGUGAAACACUCUGGCAACUGCAAGCAGACAGAUGGGAUUUGGGAGUCAAUGCAAGUUGGAAAACUGAAAAGAAGUGGCCCGGCGCUGUUUAGAGGAGCACUGGAUUGUUGUUACGCCCCAGAUGCUCGUAAUUUGGAGGAUUCUUCCAAACAUUACAACACAUGAAAGUGCCUGCAUCCUGCAUUGACCUAUGUGAUUGCACUAGGGAUGACAGAACACUCAGGUGGAACGGACACAGGUCUUCAAACGACUGGAGAAGAGCUAGCUGCCACCCUUGCUCUUGUCAGGACUGUCACCCAAGAGAGAAAGACCUCUCUCAGUAGGACACUGUAUGGUUGGGUCUGUUACAGAAAUUUAACCUCCACUUUAGCACGAAUGGCAUCAUGAGUCCUAUGCAAACUUGUCAGUAAGAAGAGCCUGACUCAGCAAUGAGCUCUCCAUUUCUUGCCCAAAAUGUCUCCUGCAAGAAAAACUCUGCAGAGAAAACAAGCCAGUAAAGCUUAGUCUCACCAUUCCAUGCACGCACCUACUGAUCCACACAAUUAACCCAAAAAGUCACAUUCCCUCUUUCUCACCUCCCCUGAAGAAACCAACAAAACAAAUGAAAACGAAAAUAAGAAAUGUCAAGAGUAGAAGCAUUUUCUUCCUUUGAGAAUUCAGAAUUUGGUGCCAUCAAUUAAUACCAGGGAAAUAGCAGGAAAUUUCUGGAGGGGAACGUGAAAAAAGGAGGCACCUGCUUUUCAGUUCUCUGAAUAAUAAGUCUAGGGAAAGCCAAUAUCGUUCUUUUGCAGGCAGUUCUCACAAACACUGCUAUUGCAUUUACAUUCAGUAGCUCCUUGCCUCCCAGCAAACAACAGAACCUUGUGUUUUCUGGCUUCUCUAGAGCCUGCAAAGUAGACAUCACUGAUCCCAUUCUCUAAAUGGGAAAACGGAGGCUCAGGGGUUGAGUGAUUUAUUGAAAGUGCAGCAUAAGCAAGCGGAGAAGCCAGCAGGAGAUAAGAGCUUGCCUAACUCCCCAGUCAAUUUUCAGUUCCCCAGAUAACACAGCACUGAAAUAAACCUACAUCAACACCAUAUGGUAUCAGCAAAGCAGGGGGAUGUUGGGCACUUGUAUUAAAAUGGGCUAUACAGGAAAGAUAGUUGGUACACGUGAGUAGUCAGAGAGCAAACUAUCCUUUUGAUAAUUCACAUCAUUUUUAGUUCAGUAAACCAGGAUGACAUGAGUUUUGAGGGAAGGGGACAACUUUACCAACACCAAUCCAGUUCUUAUUCUCAACACACAUUAUAAUAAAUCACAAUUGUUAUGAAUGCCUGAUAGGCAACAACUUAAUUCAGCAGGUUUAGAAUUCCGGCUUGUGAAGCAUUUUUCUCAGCUAGCAAUCUUGAGGUACCUUUAAAGGACUUUCCUUGAGUUUUGAAAUGAAAAUACAUUGUGUUCUUUUGGGAUAAGCUGUUUCAGAAUUUUCUUCAGUGCUAGUAUGAAACUUAGAUUUAGCAAAAGUACUUUGCAAACCUGUUAACAUAUAACAGCCACCAACUAAUCCAAUAAACAGUCCCCUGCACACAGCAAUGCAUCCCACUAGGCUGCCAAAAGGGGCAAAUACAAUUUGUCUAUAGAAUUAGGCCUCACAGUUAGAGUCCCUGCUUUGGGUGUGUGAACUACAAGCAGAUUUAGUGUCCCUAAACAGAUGGGCUUUCCCUUUAUGGGCCACUCUUUAAGUUUUCUAGGCAAACCGCAGCUGCGCUAAUGUCCCUUUGUGUAAAUGAUUGUAUGUUGAACUGCUUCCCUUUACCUGAUGUGUAUUCAGAGUUUCGAGCCAGGAACAACUGGGAUAUGACAUCUGCAGAAAAGGAAGAUUUCUUUCUUCAUGCUUUUUAGGACUGGCUGCUAUAGGCAGGAAAAGCUUCUCUAAAUAUAAUUGGCUGCAAACAAAAAACCAACCUAAUUGAACUGAAGCAGGAAAGGCAGUUUGGAAAAGAAUCUUUGGUGGUUCAAGGAAUUUCUCAGAAGUCAUAGCAUCAAGCUAGGAGGGUCUACAGAUAGGAACAGUGACCCAGCUGCACAGCCAGACUGUGGCAUGGGGCAGAUACCACCGCCUCCCUGCCUGCUUGUCCUGUGAUUCCACGGCCAGCACCUCUGACCCUGCUGCCCCCGGGCUGGAUGCCUCUCUGCCACCUGACAAGAAUGUGCUCGUCAUGGCAUUACUGUCCUCAUGACCUCUUUUAAAAGGAAAUCUCAUGGUGCACAUCUGGUCCCAUGGCUCAACUCUAGCUGUGCUGGAGGCUGAGAAAGCAAGAGUCUGACCUCUACCUUGAGAAGGCAGAAGAUCUUCCGAACACUAGAAAGCUGUUCAAAGGGUGAACAGUGAUCUGGAACAUAAAAUACACCCACACGUUUAGCGUUUGGCUGUCCAGCAGCCCUAAAAACAUUCCUCCAUACUGAAAUUCUAAACAAUGACAAUCACAAGAACAAAAUGCUUCUGCCUAACAUCAUGCACUUAUUUCUUGUACAACUGAAAAUAUGCUCACUCUCUUCUCAAAGUGGGGACAAGAUGAAACCUCAGUUUUUUAUUCCAGAGGAUGUCCAUCUUCUUCAGUUCAGCCACAAUGCUGUCUUGAUGUUCUGAUUUCAGGAACUAAAAUGCAGUUAUUUACCACCCUGUACCUACCCAUAUAUUCUAUACAACUGUACAGGAAGCAGAAAAGGGGGAAAAGAGAGUAGUCUGUAUAUAUACACAGCAAGGAAGAAAAUGUUUACGCUAUUGUUUCUGCAAGUGAUCAUGUAGAUGUGCGUGGUUUUUAUGAUAUGCUUUCUCCACAGCUAUGCUAAUAUGGUUUAGGUCUGUGUCCCCACCCAAUUCUCAUGUUGAAUUCUAAUUCCCAAAUGCUGGGAAAGGGACCUGGUGGAAGGUGAUUGGAUCACGGGGACAGAUUUCCCCCAUGAUGUUCUCAUGAUACAGAACUCUCAACCUCAUGAGAGAGUUGUCAUGAGAUCUGACUGUUUAAAAGUGUGUGGCACUUCCCUCUUCACUCUCUCUUCUGCUGCCAUGUGAAGACAUGCUUGCUUCCCCUUUGCCCUUCCGUCAUGAUUGUAAGUUUUCUGAGUCUUCCCAGCCAUGCUUCUUGUACAGCCUGUGGAACUGUGAGGCAAUUAAACCCCUUUUCUUCAUAAAUUAUCCAGUCUCUGAUAGUUCUUUACGGCAGUGUGAGAAUGGACUAAUACACAUGCUGAUAUGAUUUGGCUCUGUGUCCCCACUCAAAUUUCA